AAACCCCAUGAUGUUCAGGUCCGCCGCAUCUCCUGGGUCGUGGGGUGGCCGGUCGAGAUCGAUGCACAGUGGCAUCCUCGUUCCACGCAUUCAUUUUGAUCGGCCUUCGA
rfam:Hoeflea olei strain JC234 contig_4, whole genome shotgun sequence.